rnacentral:snRNA from 1 species
GUGCUCACUUCGGCAGCACAUAUACUAAAAUUGGAAUGAUACAGAGAAUAUUAGCAUGGCCCCUGUGCAAGGAUGAUAUGCAAAUUCAUGAAGCGUUCCAUAUUUUU